rnacentral:rRNA from 1 species
GAUGAACGCUGGCGGCGUGCCUAAUACAUGCCAGUCGAGCGAACAGACGAGGAGCUUGCUCCUCUGACGUUAGCGGCGGACGGGUGAGUAACACGUGGAUAACCUACCUAUAAGACUGGGAUAACUUCGGGAAACCGGAGCUAAUACCGGAUAAUAUAUUGAACCGCAUGGUUCAAUAGUGAAAGACGGUUUUGCUGUCACUUAUAGAUGGAUCCGCGCCGCAUUAGCUAGUUGGUAAGGUAACGGCUUACCAAGGCAACGAUGCGUAGCCGACCUGAGAUGGUGAUCGGCCACACUGGAACUGAGACACGGUCCAGACUCCUACGGGAGGCAGCAGUAGGGAAUCUUCCGCAAUGGGCGAAAGCCUGACGGAGCAACGCCGCGUGAGUGAUGAAGGUCUUCGGAUCGUAAAACUCUGUUAUUAGGGAAGAACAAAUGUGUAAGUAACUAUGCACGUCUUGACGGUACCUAAUCAGAAAGCCACGGCUAACUACGUG